rnacentral:rRNA from 1 species
UGCUACAAUGGACAAUACAAAGGGCAGCGAAACCGCGAGGUCAAGCAAAUCCCAUAAAGUUGUUCUCAGUUCGGAUUGUAGUCUGCAACUCGACUACAUGAAGCUGGAAUCGCUAGUAAUCGUAGAUCAGCAUGCUACGGUGAAUACGUUCCCGGGUCUUGUACACACCGCCCGUCACACCACGAGAGUUUGUAACACCCGAAGCCGGUGGAGUAACCUUUUAGGAGCUAGCCGUCGAAGGUGGGACAAAUGAUUGGGGUGAAGUCGUAACAAGGUAGCCGUAUCGGAAGGUGCGGCUGGAUCACCUCCUUU